CAAGCGGAACACUUCCCUGGCAAACACCUGAGCAAGCUGAAUAGCAGAAGGCAGUUUCUUAAGCGGAAUAAAGUGUGCCAUCUUAGAGAACCUAUCCGUCACAGUCAAUAUCACCGUCUGACCAUCAGAAGGAGGAAGGUCUACAAUAAAAUCCAUGGACAAGUGGGUCCAUGGUUUCUUGGGUACAGAUAGAGGCAUCAAUAGACCCUGGGGUCUCAUAUUAGGAGACU